rnacentral:rRNA from 1 species
GACGAACGCUGGCGGCGUGCUUAACACAUGCAAGUCGAACGGAAAGGCCCCCUUGUGGGGUACUCGAGUGGCGAACGGGUGAGUAACACGUGAGUAACCUACCCUUGACUUUGGGAUAGCUUCAGGAAACUGGGGCUAAUACCGGAUAGGAGCUCCUGCUGCAUGGUGGGGGUUGGAAAGUUUCGGCGGUUGGGGAUGGACUCGCGGCUUAUCAGCUUGUUGGUGGGGUAGUGGCUCACCAAGGCUUUGACGGGUAGCCGGCCUGAGAGGGUGACCGGCCACAUGGGGACUGAGAUACGGCCCAGACUCCUACGGGAGGCAGCAGUGGGGAAUAUUGCACAAUGGGCGGAAGCCUGAUGCAGCAACGCCGCGUGCGGGAUGACGGCCUUCGGGUUGUAAACCGCUUUCGCCUGUGACGAAGCGUGAGUGACGGUAAUGGGUAAAGAAGCACCGGCUAACUACGUG